AGAAGUAAUAUUUAAAUUUUUGAAAUAUUAUGUUUGUUGAAAUAUAUAAGCCUGUGGUAUUGUUUUGGUUACGUUUUUGAUUAUACAUGGUAUUUGAAGGAGGUUUAAGAGGUUUGCAAAGGUUGAAGCUUUUUUAAAAAAAAUUCUUUAAAGAUAGCAUUGAGUCUAUAAAUAUUUGUUUUAACGGGAAAUAAAUAGUCUUAACUCCAGUAAUUAAUAUUGACUAAAUAUAGAAAUAUAGAGUAAGUAAUUAACUUUAGAAUGGAAUAAUAAAGUGCCAGCAUUCGCGGUCAGUCUUUAUUUUCGAAUCAAUAAAUUUGUAAAUCAGUUUAAUUAAAACAGAAAUAGAAGAUUAUUAAUGAGUUGGUAAAAUAUUUUCAUUUUUAGAAAGUUUAGAUGUUAUAAAAUUAAAUCUAAUAAGACUGUAUUAGAGACGGGGAUUAGAGACCCCCUUAUUUAUGUUAUUUAUCAAGUUUACGGGGACUACGAGCAAAUGUGCUUAAAACUCAAUCAAGUUGGCGGUACUUCAUAUCCAGUUAGGGGAACUUGGCGGUUAAAUUGAUAAUCCUCAAAAAUUUUACCCUUAAUUUUCUUUAUAUACCGCCGUUGUAAGUAGUCUUGGAUAGAAAAGAUUCUAGUGUUAGAUGAAUGAUAUAAAUUGUUUUGUUCAUAAUAAUUCAGGUAAACGUGUAGGUUUUAGGGGGCUUAGCUGAGUUACAAUUUAUAAUAAAAACGGAUUCUGAUAUGAAAAUUCAGUUAAAGGUGUACUUUUUAGUAAAAUUUUUUAUAGAGUAAAUUUGAAUAGAGCAAUUGAAGUGCGUACAAAUCGCCCGGCGCCCUUGAAUAAUUAAAAUUAAGGUAAGUCGUAACAUAGUAAUGCUAAUAGAAGUUGGUGUUAAA
rnacentral:rRNA from 1 species